rnacentral:rRNA from 1 species
UACGUAGGGGGCGAGCGUUGUCCGGAUUCAUUGGGCGUAAAGCGCGCGCAGGCGGCUUCGUAAGUCGGCCGUGAAAUCUCCAGGCUCAACUUGGAGGGGUCGGGCGAGACUGCGGAGCUCGAGGCAGGUAGAGGGCGGUGGAAUUCCGGGUGUAGUGGUGGAAUGCGUAGAGAUCCGGAGGAACACCAGUGGCGAAGGCGGCCGCCUGGGCCUGACCUGACGCUGAGGCGCGAAAGCGUGGGGAGCGAUCCGG